rnacentral:rRNA from 1 species
GUCCGGGGUGUAACUGACGCUAAUGCUCGAAAGUGCGGGUAUCAAACAGGAUUAGAUACCCUGGUAGUCCGCACGGUAAACGAUGGAUGCCCGCUGUUUGCGAUAUACUGUGAGCGGCCAAGAGAAAUCGUUAAGCAUCCCACCUGGGGAGUACGCCGGCAACGGUGAAACUCAAAGGAAUUGACGGGGGCCCGCACAAGCGGAGGAACAUGUGGUUUAAUUCGAUGAUACGCGAGGAACCUUACCCGGGCUUGAACUGCAGGAGAACGAUACAGAGAUGUUGAGGUCCUUCGGGACUCCUGUGGAGGUGCUGCAUGGUUGUCGUCAGCUCGUGCCGUGAGGUGUCGGCUUAAGUGCCAUAACGAGCGCAACCCUUUUCGUCAGUUGCCAUCAGGUGAAGCUGGGCACUCUGGCGAUACUGCCACCGUAAGGUGUGAGGAAGGUGGGGAUGACGUCAAAUCAGCACGGCCCUUACGUCCGGGGCUACACACGUGUUACAAUGGGGAGUACAGAGAGUCGGCCGCACGCAAGUUCGGUCUAAUCAAGAAAGCUCUCCUCAGUUCGGAUUGGGGUCUGCAACCCGACCCCAUGAAGCUGGAUU